GCCGAAAUAGCUCAGAUUCGAGAGCGUCAGACUGAAGAUGUGAAGGGCGCUGGUUCAAUCCUGGGUUUCGGCA
rnacentral:tRNA from 1 species